rnacentral:lncRNA from 1 species
CUGUGAUUGGUUGACCGUUUUCGUCAAGCGGUGCUCGGCGCGCGCGGGCUUCACAAGCUAAAGCGAAAACCGUCUGACUUACUGAAAAUAUAUAUUUUUUUCCUUUCUCAAAUGGGGUAUUUAUUGUCCACAGUAAAGUUUGUUCAUAUCUGUAGCAUUGUAACUCUCAUCACACCAUCCAGCCAAGUCAAGACGAUCGAGAAGGACACAGACAGAUGGAGCUGGAGGACAAAAAGUGAGCAUAGUACGAACAGAUGACAUGGAGACACCUCCUUUUUUCUAGUUGCCACAACAUCAUCAGUAACCCAGGAAACCCAUUGAAACAAGAAGGACCCAGGAAAUGAAGUAAUGAUUCAGGAAUGUUGGGAGACAAGAGUUUCCCCCACAGCUGAAAUCUCCCUCUCCAGAGGAGAAUAGCAAACAGAGUAGCUCUGUCUGAAGCCACAUGAGGUCAACAGUCCUUGGACAACAACAAAACAUUACCCAUAACACAACAGAAUGCAUGAUCUAAUUACAACCUAUAUCUAUGUAAAAAUCUCUACUAACCUAAUAAUAAAUAAAACAGAGACA